UACGAAGGGGGCUAGCGUUGCUCGGAAUCACUGGGCGUACAGGGUGCGUAGGCGGGUCUUUAAGUCCGGGGUGAAAUCCUGGAGCUCAACUCCAGAACUGCCUUUGAUACUGAGGAUCUUGAGUUCGGGAGAGGUGAGUGGAACUGCGAGUGUAGAGGUGAAAUUCGUAGAUAUUCGCAAGAACACCAGUGGCGAAGGCGGCUCACUGGCCCGAUACUGACGCUGAGACGCGAAAGCGUGGGGAGCAAACAGG
rnacentral:rRNA from 1 species